rnacentral:rRNA from 1 species
GUGAGGAAUUUUCCGCAAUGGGCGAAAGCCUGACGGAGCAAUGCCGCGUGAAGGAUGAAGGCCUAUGGGUUGUAAACUUCUUUUCUCAGAAAAGAAUUAUGACGGUAUCUGAGGAAUAAGCAUCGGCUAACUCUGUGCCAGCAGCCGCGGUAAGACAGAGGAUGCAAGCGUUAUCCGGAAUGAUUGGGCGUAAAGCGUCUGUAGGUUGUUUAAAAAGUAUUCUGUCAAAGAUUAGGGCUUAACCCUAGAUAGGCAGAAUAAACUUUUAAGCUAGAGUUUGGUAGAGGCAGAGGGAAUUCCCGGUGGAGCGGUGAAAUGCGUAGAUAUCGGGAGGAACACCAAAGGCGAAGGCACUCUGCUGGGCCAAUACUAACACUGAGAGACGAAAGCGAGGGGACCAAAUGGGAUUAGAAACCCCUGUAGUCC